CCAUAUAAAGAUCAUCGUGAAUUCUCAUUAAGGCCGAAUGCAUGUACAAGUACAUUCAAGGAAUCUUGAAACACAUGCCAUCAUUUUUGGUGCAUGUGACCGUUCAUAUGAAGGAGUCAAAUACAUGGAUUCAUGCAUUUGAUGUUUGGCUGAAUUCAAAGGAUCAUCCAUAUGCAUGAACGGCAAGGGGAGGAAUUUUACAUCAAAAUGGAAACAUUAAAUGUGAUCAUUCAUGAAUCUACUCAAGAGUAAUGAAUUUAUCCAUCCAUACACUUCCUAAGGGGGACGACUUG
rnacentral:lncRNA from 1 species